rnacentral:tRNA from 7 species
GGCGCCGUGGCCAAGUGGUAAGGCAGAGGACUGCAAAUCCUUUAUCCCCGGUUCGAAUCCGGGCGGCGCCU